rnacentral:rRNA from 1 species
CCUGAGAAACGGCUACCACAUCCAAGGAAGGCAGCAGGCGCGCAAAUUACCCACUCCCGGCACGGGGAGGUAGUGACGAAAAAUAACGAUACGGGACUCAUCCGAGGCCCCGUAAUCGGAAUGAGUACACUUUAAAUCCUUUAACAAGGACCAUUGGAGGGAAAGUCUGGUGCCAGCAGCCGCGGUAACUCCAGCUCCAAUAGCGUAUAUUAAAGUUGUUGCGGUUAAAAAGCUCGUAGUUGAAUCUGUGUCCCACACUGUCGGUUCACCGCUCGCGGUGUUCAACUGGCAUGUCUGUGGGACGUCCUACCGGUGGGCGCAGCCCGUCAAACGGCGGCCCAACUAAAAAUCCUACCACGGUGCUCUUCACCGAGUGUCGAGGUGGGCCGGUACGUUUACUUUGAACAAAUUAGAGUGCUUAAAGCAGGCUCAUUUGCCUGAAUAUUGUGUGCAUGGAAUAAUGGAAUAGGACCUCGGUUCUAUUUUGUUGGUUUUCGGAACUCCGAGGUAAUGAUUAAUAGGGACAACUGGGGGCAUUCGUAUUGCGACGUUAGAGGUGAAAUUCUUGGAUCGUCGCAAGACGGACAGAAGCGAAAGCAUUUGCCAAAUGUGUUUUCAUCAAUCAAGAACGAAAGUUAGAGGUUCGAAGGCGAUCAGAUACCGCCCUAGUUCUAACCAUAAACGAUGCCAGCUAGCGAUCCGCCGAAGUUCCUCCGAUGACUCGGCGGGCAGCUUCCGGGAAACCAAAGCUUUUGGGUUCCGGGGGAAGUAUGGUUGCAAAGCUGAAACUUAAAGGAAUUGACGGAAGGGCACCACCAGGAGUGGAGCCUGCGGCUUAAUUUGACUCAACACGGGAAACCUCACCAGGCCCGGACACCGGAAGGAUUGACAGAUUGAGAGCUCUUUCUUGAUUCGGUGGGUGGUGGUGCAUGGCCGUUCUUAGUUGGUGGAGCGAUUUGUCUGGUUAAUUCCGAUAACGAACGAGACUCUAGCCUGCUAAAUAGGCGUAUUUCCGGUAUCUCGAAGGCCCGCCGGCCCGAUUUCGGUCGUGGUUGUGCGUGGUUUUUACUACCGGCGUACACAUAUAUCUUCUUAGAGGGACAGGUGGCAUUUAGUCGCACGAGAUUGAGCAAUAACAGGUCUGUGAUGC